UGGGGAAUAUUGCACAAUGGGCGCAAGCCUGAUGCAGCCAUGCCGCGUGUAUGAAGAAGGCCUUCGGGUUGUAAAGUACUUUCAGCGGGGAGGAAGGUGUUGUGGUUAAUAACCACAGCAAUUGACGUUACCCGCAGAAGAAGCACCGGCUAACUCCGUGCCAGCAGCCGCGGUAAUACGGAGGGUGCAAGCGUUAAUCGGAAUUACUGGGCGUAAAGCGCACGCAGGCGGUCUGUCAAGUCGGAUGUGAAAUCCCCGGGCUCAACCUGGGAACUGCAUCCGAAACUGGCAGGCUUGAGUCUUGUAGAGGUGGGUAGAAUUCCAGGUGUAGCGGUGAAAUGCGUAGAGAUCUGGAGGAAUACCGGUGGCGAAGGCGGCCCCCUGGACAAAGACUGACGCUCAGGUGCGAAAGCGUGGGGAGCAAACA
rnacentral:rRNA from 1 species